rnacentral:misc_RNA from 1 species
GAUGAAGAACGCAGCGAAGUGCGAUAAGUAAUGUGAAUUGCAGAAUUCAGUGAAUCAUCGAAUCUUUGAACGCACAUUGCGCCCCCUGGUAUUCCGGGGGGCAUGCCUGUUCGAGCGUCAUUACAACCCUCAAGCUCUGCUUGGUGUUGGGCCCCGCCGCCCCGGCGGGCCCUAAAAUCAGUGGCGGUGCCGUCCGGCUCCGAGCGUAGUAAUUCUUCUCGCUCUGGAGGUCCGGGUGUGUGCUCGCCAGCAACCCCCAAUUUUUUUCAGGUUGACCUCGGAUCAGGUAGGGAUACCCGCUGAACUUAAGCAUAUCAAUAAGCGGAGGA